AUUGAACGCUGGCGGCAGGCCUAACACAUGCAAGUCGAACGGUAACAGGAAGCAGCUUGCUGCUUCGCUGACGAGUGGCGGACGGGUGAGUAAUGUCUGGGAAGCUGCCUGAUGGAGGGGGAUAACUACUGGAAACGGUAGCUAAUACCGCAUAAUGUCGCAAGACCAAAGAGGGGGAGCUUCGGGCCUCUUGCCAUCGGAUGUGCCCAGAUGGGAUUAGCUUGUUGGUGGGGUAACGGCUCACCAAGGCGACGAUCCCUAGCUGGUCUGAGAGGAUGACCAGCCACACUGGGACUGAGACACGGUCCAGACUCCUACGGGAGGCAGCAGUGGGGAAUAUUGCACAAUGGGCGCAAGCCUGAUGCAGCCAUGCCGCGUGUAUGAAGAAGGCCUUCGGGUUGUAAAGUACUUUCAGCGGGGAGGAAGGGAGUAAAGUUAAUACCUUUGCUCAUUGACGUUACCCGCAGAAGAAGCACCGGCUAACUCCGUG
rnacentral:rRNA from 1 species